GACCAAUGAGCCUCAACUUCCUGUUGUAAAGAGAGUAACGGACAAUCAACGACCUCAGAAUUGAAAGGCUGUUGGUUGAUAUGUGGACAGCUGUGACCUCCACAUAUUAUGAUAUCCUGCACAAUCUUGAACAAGUUGAGAUGCUGGACAUUGCAAAUACCCUGCACCUCUUUCUGGUACACCUUGUGUUUCUUCCCCGACCUUCAGAUCUUUGUUAAAGGCUGGAACCACCAUCCCCUUUUAUGACCCCGGAACAAAUGUGGCAAAUGUAACUUUUGUACUGACUCUGACUUGUACUGACUCUAUUCUCAUAGAUACUUGUACUGACUCUAUUCUCAUAUAUAUUACAUAUAAAUAAAUAACAGUACACAGUU